AAACCAUGGUGGGGACACUAUCUUAGCAAACUCUUGAAUCUAUCUCAUGCUUCAAAUAAUGAUUUUCCAUCUGCCUAAGCAAAGUUUGUGAUGUAAUUCCUCAUGUGCAU